rnacentral:rRNA from 1 species
GACGAACGCUGGCGGCGUGCUUAACACAUGCAAGUCGAGCGGUAAGGCCCGUUUCGGGGGUACACGAGCGGCGAACGGGUGAGUAACACGUGGGUGACCUGCCCUCAGCUCUGGGAUAAGCCUGGGAAACCGGGUCUAAUACCGGAUAUGACUCCAUGACGCAUGUUGGUGGGGUAGGAAAGCCUUGUGCGGCUGAGGAUGGGCCCGCGGCCUAUCAGCUUGUUGGUGGGGUGAUGGCCUACCAAGGCGACGACGGGUAGCCGGCCUGAGA